rnacentral:rRNA from 1 species
GUGGGGUAGGGGAGCGUUCUGUAAGCCGUUGAAGGUGGUCUGUAAGGGCUGCUGGAGGUAUCAGAAGUGCGAAUGCUGACAUGAGUAACGAUAAAGGGAGUGAAAAACUCCCUCGCCGGAAGACCAAGGGUUCCUGUCCAACGUUAAUCGGGGCAGGGUAAGUCGACUCCUAAGGCGAGGCCGAAAGGCGUAGUCGAUGGGAAACGGGUUAAUAUUCCCGUACUUCUUACAAUUGCGAUGGGGGGACGGAGAAGGCUAGGUGGGCCUGGCGACGGUUGUCCAGGUUCAAGUA